UUCCGGUUGAUCCCGCCGGAGGCCAUUGCUAUCAGGGUUUGACUAAGCCAUGCGAGUCGAGAGGUGUAAGACCUCGGCAUACUGCUCAGUAACACGUGGUUAACCUGCCCUAAGGUGGAGGAUACUCCCGGGAAACUGGGGCUAAUACUCCAUAGUGGAUAUCUCCUGGAAUGGUAUAUCCUCGAAAGAUCCGUCGCCUUAGGAUGGGACUGCGUCCGAUUAGGUUGUUGGCGGGGUAACGGCCCACCAAGCCAUUGAUCGGUACGGGUUGUGGGAGCAAGAUCCCGGAGAUGGAUUCUGAGACAUGAAUCCAGGCCCUACGGGGCGCAGCAGGCGCGCAAACUUUACAAUGCGAGCAAUCGUGAUAAGGAAACCCUGAGUGCCUGUCGAUGCAGGCUGUUCAUAUAUCUAAAUCAUAUGUGAAGAAAGGGCAGGGCAAGACCGGUGCCAGCCGCCGCGGUAAUACCGGCUGCUCGAGUGAUGGCCACUAUUACUGGGUUUAAAGCGUCCGUAGCUUGACUGUUAGGUCCCUUGGGAAAUCUUCACGCUUAACGUGAAGGCGUCUAAGAGAUACCGGCAGUCUUGGAACUGGGAGAGGUAAACCGUACUUCGGGGGUAGGAGUGAAAUCUUGUAAUCCUCGAGGGACGACCUAUGGCGAAGGCAGUUUACCAGAACAGCUUCGACAGUGAGGGACGAAAGCUGGGGGAGCAAACGGGAUUAGAUACCCCGGUAGUCCCAGCCGUAAACAAUGUGCGUUAGGUGUGUCGGUAACCACGUGUUACUGAUGCGCCGAAGAGAAAUCGUGAAACGCACCACCUGGGAAGUACGGUCGCAAGGCUGAAACUUAAAGGAAUUGGCGGGGGAGCAC
rnacentral:rRNA from 1 species